GAUGAAGAACGCAGCGAAAUGCGAUAAGUAGUGUGAAUUGCAGAAUUCAGUGAAUCAUCGAAUCUUUGAACGCACAUUGCGCCCCUUGGUAUUCCAUGGGGCAUGCCUGUUCGAGCGUCAUUUGUACCUUCAAGCUCUGCUUGGUGUUGGGUGUUUGUCUCGCCUCUGCGUGUAGACUCGCCUUAAAAUAAUUGGCAGCCGGCGUAUUGAUUUCGGAGCGCAGUACAUCUCGCGCUUUGCACUCAUAACGACAGCGUCCAAAAGUACAUUUUACACUCUUGACCUCGGAUCAGGUAGGGAUACCCGCUGAACUUAAGCAUAUCAAUAAGCGGAGGA
rnacentral:misc_RNA from 1 species